AUGACGCGCAUACGUCAUGAUAAUAUUCAAUGGCAAUGACGGAGGUUAGUGUUUAAUGACGAUAAUGAUAGUGGUGUUCCGCAGGAUUCCAAACAGACAAAUUAUUGCCCGCCAUCUAAAGUAACAAAUGAUGCAAGUCGGUAUUUAUCUCAUACAACUCAAACAUCUAUUGUAUCAAUUUUCCAAAAUGAUAAUUACCUAAGCUACUAAAUUGGAUAAAAAAAAAUCCUUUGCCAAAAAAAAUGGUUGUCCGCAAAGGAAAGGCAAAUUACAAAAAAAAAUCGACUCAUAUGCUACAACGUGCACAAUCUUAUUUUAAAAUGGGAAGAAAUAAAGAUCGAUUGGAGAUGAAAGCUAUAACGAAAGAAAAAUGUAUUCACUACAUUCACCAAGUAGGAAGAGGUUAUUUUUUGUGUAUCUUUUCUAGCGUUAGAUUCUUCCGUUGUUUGUUGAAAAUGGAUUUUGCACGGUUAUAAAUGGUGAUGAUGUAUAAUUGUCUCAACUUAAUUUAUGAAUUUGUAUUUGAUAUAUAUUCAUAUACAUAUAUUACAUACGAUUUCCAACGAAAUGCUUGCUUUGAUGUAUCUAAGUAUCUUUUAGAUAUUUAUGGCUUUCAUUUUUAAAAAUUAUAAUAAAUUUGAAUGGAAAUCAUAUAAUAUGUAAUUUCUUUUCCUGUGGGGGUUUUAUCUAUCCAAAGGAUGAAAAAUGAAAUA